rnacentral:rRNA from 1 species
AUACGUAGGUCCCGAACGUUGCGCGAAAUUACUGGGCGUAAAGGGUCCGUAGGCGGUCUGGUAAGUGGAAGGUGAAAGCCUGGGGCUCAACUCCAGAAUUGCCUUCCAAACUGCCGGACUUGAGGCAGGGAGAGGUCGGCGGAAUUCCCGGUGUAGCGGUGAAAUGCGUAGAUAUCGGGAGGAACUCCAGUGGCGAAGGCGGCCGACUGGAACUGUCCUGACGCUGAGGGACGAAAGCCAGGGGAGCGAACCGGAUUAGAAACCCUAGUAGUCC